AGCGCGGCGUGCGCGGGGGCAGGUGCAUGCGCGGCCGGGGCACCGGAGACGCGGCUCCGGGACCCAGAGCUUCGUAGGAUCUCAGGGGAGCCGCGCAGGGAACAGAGAAAAGCCUGUCUUCGCCUGCUCAAGUGUGAGCCAGGAUGAGCUGCAGCCGAGAUUGACCAUUACACAGGCGGGGGCUCGGGAAGCUCCAGAGCACAGGUAAGUCAAAGCAAACCCUCCAGCAGAGCGAGCGCUCGCCCGCUGCCUCCGCCCCACGGAGCAGCAGGAUCUGCCCCGGCGCCUCCACCCCGAGAUGAGAAAAAGCAGAGGGGAAGCAGAGGAGAAACACCGCGCCCGGCGCUCCAGGGCCUGGUGCCCGCCUGCGACAGCCACAGCGCGGGAGAGUGGAUGAGCCAGCCAGCAAGAUUAUAUACGUUCAGUCUACUAAUAUUUGUGGAUAAAAUGAAAAGAGCAGCUGUGACAGGAAAACUAAAGACAAAGCAAGCAUUGGAAAAGAAACUCACCUAAGGAUGCAAAAGUCUGAGGAAACCUAAAAUACAAGAAAACAAGAGGUUUCUUUUUAUCAUCUUAAACUACAAACACUGAUGCCUUUCCAGAUAUAACACAUAAGCCUACAAGAUGAUGGCUCUUCUAUGGCUCAUGUGUGGAUGUGAAGAACCAAAGAUGAAAGACUACCCAAGCUAAUCUGCAUGGAAACUGUGAAAGUGCCUGGAAUACUAGGGGAAUACAGAAGCCGAGUAUUUAUUAGGAAGAACGCAACUGGUCCUAAGUAGAAACAAGGAUUGAGAUUCAAUACAAAGUUAAGCGAAGAGAAAUAAUUCUGCAACUUCAGAAGUUUGCACCACAAUAUGGAGAAGCACAGAAAGGAGACAAAUAGUUCAAAGAGCAAGAGAACUGUGAAAAUUACAUACAAAUGAUUUUUAAAUUUAUAACACGCUUUCUUCAGUUGUAUAUGCUCAUCCUUUUACGUUCAGCUUAACGUAUUGUUGCAAGCAACUUUAUUUCCAGCAAACAUUAACAUUUUGUGGGCAAACACAAAAAAAUCACUAGAUUUUUAUGUCUCCACACGUAUAUGUUUUUGUUCAAUUUUUUCAAGCACUCAUCCUCUCAGAAAGUCAGAACAAUUCUGCCAAGCAAGCAAGAACCACGGAGAGGUCUCAAGUGAAUAAGAAAUGCCUUCGAAGAGCCUUUUUCUGCUGAAAACGGAAACAUCUGCUGAGCAUGCCAGAGGAAGCUGUGUCUGUUGGAUUCCUGACCGCAGCAUAUUUCUUCCUUGAACCACAUGAAGUAACAUGAAGGGCAGAGAAGAUGGUGAGCGGAGAUAAACCUUGAGACCUGGGACUGCAAUUUCAGCCCAAAGCCUGCCCUGAAGGAGGGAAUACAAGAGGCUGCAACUGUCCUAUUAGGAGCCACCGCUCUUCUGGCUGAGAGCAACAAGAUGGAGUUUUAACCAUCAACUCUGAUCAGCAUCAGGAGUAAAGUUGGAUGAAAUGAACCUUCUACCCCUAGGCUUGACUACCCUUCCUCCAGAGAGCUCCCCAGAGGGCUUGUGAAGCCAGCACAGCACGGGGGGCCUGCACCACCACUCCUGCAGCCUCAGACGCAGCAAUUGCCAGACAACUGGCCUCUAAAUUCAACAACAUUUAUAAACCUAAUGGCUGGUUCUCGCCAUGAAGAACUCCAGAAUUGGUCACCUGUUGGGAGAAAAAGAGGGAUGAUGGAGAUGGAGUUGGCAGCAGAGUGGAGAGCUGGGAAGGCUUUCCCAGGCCGAUACCCUAGGACAAACCAUCACACUGCAGAGAGCACCAUGGACGUGAGCUUCUAAGACACUUUAUAAGGAACCUAGAGCCAAGGGAGAUGCUUUGCUUUGAAGGGUGAAACAAAACCAAUUAAGUAUGGCAAUUCUUGUAAAAUUAGAACAAAUUAAAAAUGCUCAGUGUCGUAACUUGCAGGAUGAUUGUGAAAUCGUAAUUUUCCUGAGAGGUAAAGCGAACACCCUCCGCUCAGUUCUGCAGUUUAACAUCAUUUGCAUAAAAGGACAGAGAUAUUCAUCUUACUUAGACUUGGUUCCCUACAAGGAGAAAUUCAUCCACCUACCUACCUCUUGGGGAUGAGCCUCCUCCCAGAGGUGCCUGUCUCUCUCUGUCCGCCCUAGACGAGGUCCAGCUCAGGCUGAAGGGUUUCCAGGCAGUUCAAGUCUGGCAAGGUGGAUCUCCGGUUUCCCUAACCCCCAUUCCCAGGGUCACAUUCCGGUCUAAAAACUGCAAGAUUCAGGGCCAUUGUACCGGGCACAAACAUAGGAAGAAACUUUUUGAUUCCAGGGCCAGAGGCUUAGUAGGUCUUCUAGCACAGUUUCUGAGCUGACAGUGCUGUCUUUGCUGCUUUAACGACUUUUAUGGAGAUGUGGUCUCUGCAGCUACUGAUAGGACAAACCCAAUUUUCUUGGUCUUGCAUUCACAGCACUUCCUUUAGAGGAAUUAUGUCUUUUUCUGGUUUAAACAAAUAAAAUAAUAUUUGGGCUAUAUGUUUCAGAUGAUUAAAACACAGUCACUUGUGAUACUGCUUAUUCCCUGCAACAGGGAGUGAAUUUUUCAGAUUAUGCACGUAGCCAAAAGCCCAUAAAUUUUGUCAUUCAUAUCCAUAAGCAGCAUGGCAAGUUCGCAAAAGCUAUUACGUUUCAGUUACACAAGUGUGUUAAAUUACUCAGUCAACUGACAUCUGGCAUGAACUAUAAAUUGCUCUCAAAAUUCUUUUAGAAAGAUUAUUAUAUUAUUAUUAAUUUGCUGUGUAUGUCAAAGCAUAUCACACACACAGCAAUCCUGAAAUUAAUUAGCAUUUUCAAGGAUCACAGUGAAAAGGCCCACAAAGCCAGCAGAAAUAAUUUCUAAGAUACUAGUAGGUUAAGCAGUGCUGGCACAACUUGCUUUCAACAUGUUUUCUUCAAUCCAUCUUUAAGAAUAAAACACAAGAAACUUUCUUUAAACAAUCUCUUUGUUGCAUAUCCUCAGAUAUUACAAAUCAGGCUCAGGGGCUAAGAUUUCAUUUGCAAUUUAUAUUCACUAAAAACAAAGCAUUUAGAAAAAUGACAGUGCUUUUUCCUCAUUUUCUAGCAAUUCAAAGCCACCCUGAUAAGCUACUGAGUUAAAUAAAGGAGCACAGAGAACAGCUUAACUAUUUAAUCAUAAUUUUGAACACAGGACUCCUUUCUGGGUUUACUGUGGUCCUUCAUUCAAAAUACCUAGAUAGGAAAGCUCAGUAAUAUUUCAAUAAAACUAUCAUUCAGUAAAAUUUCAUUCAAUAUAAUUUAAAAUAAAAAAUAUUCAGAGCAUAAAAAGCAAGGUUAAAUUCAACAAUCUUUUUAUAAACAUGCUUAAUUUUCAGCACGUGAGUAGGCCUGCUGGAAUCCUGUUGAAACUUUUUUGACUGCUUAUUAUAA